CAAAUCUGAACUUGCAUCCCAUGUGUUUGUGUUUUCUUGCAGAGGUGCUCAGAACAGUGGAUUUUGUGGCCCCUGAUGAUCGAGUCAUCUUCCGCACCUGUGAAAGAGAACAGAGCAGAGUGGUCUUCCAGAUGGUGGUAUUGACAUCAACGUGGGCUGUCCAAAAGAAUAUUCCACCAAGUCUGCCCCCAGGACCUCGCUCUCCUGUUGCUUCCUGUUUCUGA
rnacentral:lncRNA from 1 species